rnacentral:lncRNA from 1 species
AUUUGCCCGGGCUUUUAAAAUAUAUAAAUAAAUGUUUGUUUAAAACAGUCCAGUUUACAAGAGCCCAAACACUAUUGGCCCAAUAUUUAAAACCUUCAAAACUAAAUCCCACUACCCGUGUACCCAAAUACACCCGUAGCCCAACUUAAACCGGACCCAUUACAACAGACGCAAACAGACCCACCUAAUACCAAUAAACCCAAAGGCCCAAAUAGCAGGGGGCCCAAAUGACUUUCAGAUAGGGUUAGAAACCCUAGCUCUAUUUCUCCUAGCGCCGCAAAGGAUUCUGGAAGCUUCAGGUGCCUCAAACGUCAUGCCUAAUCAGCGCCCUUUCGUUUCAUGAAGCUCCAGAACUUUCGGGGAGCGUCUAUUGGCCUCACAUCAAGGCUCCAUCAGCGCGCUACACCUCAGCCUUGUCUCGCCACCGAGAUCCUCGCAGUCACCUGCAGGAAAAGGAAAGAAAUCAAAGCAAAACUACAACAAAUAGAUUAGAACAGGGUUUGGAAAGAAAUCUUUUGAUUUCUUUCCAAAAUAGGCAGUAGAUUAAGGCUAUAAAACCUUUUUCUUAAAUCUGUAAGAACACUUACGCUGAUAGAUAUACAGAGAAGCAUAGAAAAAUCAAAAUACAUACACAGAGAGAAAAAGAAGCAUAUAUAGGCACAAAUAUACAGAAAAUACCACAAAAUUUGUAUCCAUUCAAAAGAAAGAGAAAUAAAGCAAAUCUUUGGAAGGGUAACUAAAUUGUCUCUUUUAUUUUGUUUUUACUGAUUUGUUUCUCUUGCAUGCAGAUAUAUAAAAUCUUUUUUAAAAAAAAAAACUCAGAAAGGAAAUAGAAAACAGAAAAUACCUUUUGUUUUGCAAGAAAAAGCGAACCUUUCAGGUCCCGACCGCCGUACACGGCGGGACCAGUGACGGUGCGUAGAAGGGAACAUGGUGGUCCGAUGAUCGGAGGACCACCGACCAAAGGCCGAAGCUAGGAGAGCCGGAGGGAUUUGAG